CCUUGCAAAUCCUGCUACACAACACACAAUCCUUACCAGAGAUUUUCCUCUCUAGAGUUUCCCGGCUGAUCUGAGCCAUGUUCCCGUGUGAAGUGGUGCUUCUCUCUCGCACCAGGUAAACACUACGAAUCCGUUUACAGCUGCUGGGCGGGCGGCGUGGACCUUGGGCCGCCGUCGCCUCUCGGGCCCCGGCCACACGAAUCAAAAUGGCGGAGCAAGGCUUUCCCACCCGGAUAGAGUUAAAUAUUUUGAAAUUAAAGAAAAAUACGAAGGAUGUACUUUCUGGACUUGGUGCAGUAACCAAAGAUGCCCAAGGUAUCAAUCUAGUCAGCCAUAUUGUUAUAUAUCCUCAGUGAAAGACAAAGGGAAUUCCCUCUGACAAAGAAUUAAGGACUUAUUUUUCUAAGGAAAACAAACAUUCCAUAUCUGUUUGUUCCUCAUAUAUGCAUUAUACAAGUCCCUGGUGACGACUGAGCCACCUCAUCGAAGUGUACUUUCAGUGUGUUGAUGUCAGCCCCCGAAAUAAACUGGACCAUUGGA